rnacentral:rRNA from 1 species
AGCGAACGCUGGCGGUAUGCUUAACACAUGCAAGUCGAGCGCGAAAGUGACUUCGGUCAUAAGUAGAGCGGCGGACGGGUGAGUAACACGUGGAUAAUCUGCCUUUAGGACUGGGAUAACCCUGGGAAACUAGGGCUAAUACCGGAUAAGACCACAGGUUCCAUGGAACCAGGGGUAAAAGGCGGCCUUCGGGCUGUCGCCGAAAGAUGAGUCCGCGUCCCAUCAGGUAGUUGGUGAGGUAACGGCUCACCAAGCCGAAGACGGGUAGCCGACCUUAGCGGGUGAUCGGCCACACGGGGGACUGAGACACGGCCCCGACUCCUACGGGAGGCAGCAGUGGGGAAUCUUGGGCAAUGGGCGCAAGCCUGACCCAGCAAUACCGCGUGAGGGAUGAAGGCCUU